AAAUAAACGUCUGCUAAAACUGGGAACUGACUAGUCCUACAGAGAGGCAAGUUACUUAGUCAAGUGCAAGGCGAACCACAUUAUGAUCUUAGUUCUGAUAAGUAAUCACGGAAGGACAGUGGAGCUCAGCUGAUAGAGAGGAUGAUGAAUAGGAAAAUAUACCUCACACAGAUAUGGAUAGUUGGGACUGGAGGACAUCUCAGUUGAGGCCGAUGAAACCAUGUGAAGUGUGUCUCUGUUACCUUGGCCUUGAGGACAGUAUAUCAUCAACUGACCUUUCCUGUCACGUAUUAUGCCAUUACCGGUUUAAGAAGUUUAAUCAGUAAAUGAUGGUGAUUUGAUCAAAGUGAAAAACGUUUGAACUUGUUCUACUUUAUCCAGUGAUGCAAUCCUCAUCACCUUGACAAUAAAACAGCCAGGAAGAGACCCAGUGACACCCCAGCAAUACAUUAAUCAGCUUCAUCACUUUGCUUGAGCGCUCAUGUGCAACAUGUAGGUCAUGUGAUCGGAUGUGGUAUGGUACAGUCAAGGACAAUAGACAGGUGAGGUUUCAUAGUCUUACCUUGCAGACUUACAUUUACAUUAUGAUAUUCCUUUUUAAAAUGGGAUCUCUAUCUAAUAUAAAUUUCUAUCCAAAUGACACCAUCAGAUAUCUAAUUACAAGAUGAAUUAAUCUUCAAUAUAGGCUCCUGAAAAUCACCUCUUACUAGGUAUACUAUUUUAUAACAAAGAAUGCUAUUCCACCACUGGUAAUUUAUCCACUAUCCAAUAAACACUGAUUAGAAGAUAUCCACUUUGUUCUUAAUUUGCAUAAUACAUGUAUAUCACAUUAAUUCUAAUGAAAUAACUUACAGUAAUUAUUUGAAAUGUUUUCAAAAUGAAUAUCAGGUUUGAUUUGAAUUGAAAAUUUUAAAUAGAAUGUUAUUUUGGAUAACCUAAUAUAAAUGAUGUAACAGAACAAUGCAUCUCAAUUGAGAAUGAGAUUGAGUUGAUUUCUGAUAAUAAAUGUGCAAAUUAUUCAGGAUUUGCCUACCGUAUAUACUUUGCAAAAAUAUGAAUUCAUGUUAGUCUU
rnacentral:lncRNA from 1 species